rnacentral:rRNA from 1 species
GACGAACGCUGGCGGCGUGCUUAACACAUGCAAGUCGAACGGAAAGGCCCUGCUUUUGUUGGGUGCUCGAGUGGCGAACGGGUGAGUAACACGUGUGUAACCUGCCCUUGACUUUGGGAUAACUUCAGGAAACUGGGGCUAAUACCGGAUAGGAGCUCCUGCUGCAUGGUGGGGGUUGGAAAGUUUCGGCGGUUGGGGAUGGACUCGCGGCUUAUCAGCUUGUUGGUGGGGUAGUGGCUUACCAAGGCUUUGACGGGUAGCCGGCCUGGGAGGGUGACCAGCCACAUUGGGACUGAGAUACGGCCCAGACUGGUACGGGAGGCAGCAGUGGGGAAUAUUGCACAAUGGGCGGAAGCGUGAUGCAGAGACGCUGCGUGCGGGAUGACGGCCUUCGGGUUGUAAACCGCUUUCGCCUGUGACGAAGCGUGAGUGACGGUAAUGGGUCAAGAAGCACCGGCUAACUACGUG